rnacentral:scRNA from 1 species
GGUGAUGUACGCCCCACCAUCAAUUGAGACCU